AACGUAGGACACAAGCGUUAUCCGGAGUUACUGGGCGUAAAGGGCGCGUAGGCGGCCCGGCGCGUCCGCGGUGAAAGCUCCCGGCUCAACUGGGAGAGGUCCGCGGAAACGGUCGGGCUGGAGCAAGGUAGGGGGUCGUGGAAUUCCCGGUGUAGUGGUGGAAUGCGCAGAUAUCAGGAGGAACACCAAUAGCGAAGGCAGCUCGCUGGGACGUUACUGACACUGAGGCGCGAAAGCGUGGGGAGCGAACAGG
rnacentral:rRNA from 1 species